AGCAGUAGCCGCGGUAAUACGAAGGGUGCAAGCGUUACUCGGAAUUACUGGGCGUAAAGCGUGCGUAGGUGGUGGUUUAAGUCCGUUGUGAAAGCCCUGGGCUCAACCUGGGAAUUGCAGUGGAUACUGGGUCACUAGAGUGUGGUAGAGGAUAGUGGAAUUUCCGGUGUAGCAGUGAAAUGCGUAGAGAUCGGAAGGAACAUCUGUGGCGAAGGCGACUAUCUGGGCCAACACUGACGCUCAUGCACGAAAGCGUGGGAAGCAAACAGGAUUAGAUACCCAGUAGUCCCUGUCUCUUAUACA
rnacentral:rRNA from 1 species